CUUACGUUAGGUGAUACAGAUGUUGCUCAUCACCGCAGGAGAGGUGAGCUGUCUGAACCCAUAUGUGCUACAGGCCAGGCCAGUAGAAAUGAUUUUCCCAUCUCCAGACAAUACCACUAAAUACAGCAUAGGCAAGUUAUCCGCUGGGCGUCUAAGGAACUCUGUGCAGGCGCCCUUACCUACAUGUGUCAGCCAUUCAAGAACAGGUUCCAGAGGAAGGAGGACUUUAUAAAUGAUCCCAACAGCUUCAGCCUUGUUGAUCCUCUGGAUGGAUCUGGAGAGGGGAGCAGGUGUAGUGGAAGACAGGACAGUGCUGCCUGUGGUGACCUGGAGUAUUCCAGAACAGAAUAUUUAAAUAGAUUACAUUUAUUUGUCCCUGUUAACAGUGUACACCAAAGUAAUACAGUUCUGAUAAAAAAU